UACGGCCAUAUCAGUUUGAAACACCGAUUCCCGUAUGAUCACCGAAGUUAAGCAACGUCGAGCCUGGUCAGUAUCUAGAUGGAUGACCGCUUGGAAAUACCAGGUGGUGUAA